GACAGAGGGGGCAAGCGUUGCUCGGAAUUACUGGGCGUAAAGGGCGCGUAGGCGGAAUGGCAAGUCGGUCGUGAAAUCCUUCGGCUCAACCGAAGAACGUCGAUCGAAACUGCCGUUCUUGAGGAUUGCAGAGGAGACUGGAAUUCCCGGUGUAGCGGUGAAAUGUGUAGAGAUCGGGAGGAACACCGGAGGCGAAAGCGGUCCACUGGGCAACUUCUGACGCUGAGGUGCGAAAGCUAGGGUAGCAAACGGG
rnacentral:rRNA from 1 species